AUCCAUCUGACGAGUCCCAAACAGGUCGAAACGUGUGUCCUGGAU
rnacentral:hammerhead_ribozyme from 1 species